GAAAACUCUCAAGGAUACAGGUGCAAUUGGAAAACAAAUAGAGGAUGGAGUAAGAUUGAUGGGACGUGGUGCCGAACAGAUUAAGUGGCCAAUUCACCUAGAGGUGUCGAGGGUCACUGCUAGGGCGAAGGAAGCUGUCGAAGCUGCCGGUGGGACUGUUCGGAGAGUGUAUUACAACAAAUUAGGCUUUCGGGCGCUUCUCAAGCCUGAGUGGUUUGAAAAGAAAGGCAGAAUCCUG
rnacentral:misc_RNA from 1 species